rnacentral:rRNA from 1 species
GAUGAACGCUGGCGGCGUGCCUAAUACAUGCAAGUCGAGCGAACGGACGAGAAGCUUGCUUUUCUGAUGUUAGCGGCGGACGGGUGAGUAACACGUGGAUAACCUACCUAUAAGACUGGGAUAACUUCGGGAAACCGGAGCUAAUACCGGAUAAUAUUUUGAACCGCAUGGUUCAAAAGUGAAAGACGGUCUUGCUGUCACUUAUAGAUGGAUCCGCGCUGCAUUAGCUAGUUGGUAAGGUAACGGCUUACCAAGGCAACGAUGCAUAGCCGACCUGCGAGGGGGAUCGGCCACCCUGGAACUGAGACACGGUCCAGACGCCUACGGGAGGCAGCAGUAGGGAAUCUUCCGCAAUGGGCGAAAGCCUGACGGAGCAACGCCGCGUGAGUGAUGAAGGUCUUCGGAUCGUAAAACUCUGUUAUUAGGGAAGAACAUAUGUGUAAGUAACUGUGCACAUCUUGACGGUACCUAAUCAGAAAGCCACGGCUAACUACGUG